GUUCUUACCAAAAUAGAAAUAGUACUUGUAUUUAGAGUCUCAUCAUUCAGAAGUUGGUCUGGAACUUACACAAAGAAAUUGGAUUUAAAGCCUGAGGAGACGUGAAGCAUCUGACAUUUUCACCUGAGUGUUUUUCACACAUGAAAGGGGCACCUUGCAAGGACUGAGGAGCACUCCACGUGCAUGGGCAGCAGGGACAAUAUGGGACAACUGUCACACAUGGAAGGAGAGAGGAAUGCAGUUACAGGAGCAAAUGGAACAGUCACAAAGGCAUAAGUGGAGAGUCAGCGAUGCCAGUUAACAUUGUAAAAAGCAAAGCCUGCAUUUAUUUACUCUGUGUGCUGUGUGGAAACCCACCGCUGCCAGCUUCAGCCACAGAACGUUCUAUAAGAAGCAGUUGUGGUUUCCAGAUGCGGGUGAGUGGAUAGUGUUUUCCAAGGGUGCUUUGGGGAGCAACUGGGGCAUCUGAGUACAUUUCGCAUCUUGGCACAGUGAGCCUGUUAUGAAUUCUCUGUGCCUGGCUGUCUGUCUCCUACCCCAGUGAUUACCUUCUCCUUUUGGAAGACAAAAACAACUGCAGACACACGUGUGCAAUCAAAGAGCUGGUUCCAAUGGUCUCAGCAGUCCCUAAGGUCUUCCACUGGGUAGAUUCCUGCAGAAAGAGGCUGGAAGGGCGACCUAGAGGAUCUGACUAACCUCUGAUUUAAGCCAAAACUCAGCUCUUUUUUAUUUAUCAACUGGAGUCUGGGCUUUCAUAGGGCCACUUAUUUUUUCUUAAGUGGAGUGAAGAUUGUCAGCAGGAAGUAAAGAAUACUUAUUUCGUGUAUAUUUCAAGCCAACGUGUAAUUUCCACGUUGUAUUUAGAAGGACAUUGCUUACCCUACACUUUGUUAUACACGAAGCUGUUGGUGCAUGCUUCUUGUCUAACCUUUAGGAAAUAGCUGUCCUAUGGCAUUUUGCAUAGGAAAGGAUUAUUUGACCUCGAUGGCUGAAAAAUAGUUUUCAUGGCGUUGGGGGCGAUGCAUAGCAGCUGAGGUACUUUAAUUCGCUGGGUGGUUAACACGUGGGAUGAACACUACAAGGAAUGUGAACUGAGACUGCAAUCAGAGAUGUCCAUGUAUUCUGCUAUCUGUCGGACAGAUGUCAUCCACAGCAGCUCCCAUCCGGGGUUUUCUGGGUGUCUGGGGAGUUGAAAGUACAGAGUUAUUUAACAAUACCUGCUACCGAAAAUGUAUAAUGAUUAUUGACUCUUGUCCAGUUGAAUAAAAAUAUCGACCUAACUAAAGCAUUACGUAUUUCUGGUAUCAACAAAUGCAUGACCCGCAAUCUUCAUGGUGGUUAGAUGCAGCUCAAGAUGUGGAGAAAUACUUCGCUGAGGCCUGAAAGGCUCAAGAAUAAGAAAGGGUGUUUGGAGUUUCAGAUGACACCUGACAGCCCUAGCAGCAGAAGGCCACAUGCAGAGAUGUCCAGAGACAACUCCUUUCUAAGGCAGUUCAGUUUUCUUCUUUCUUUACCAUGGUUAAUAAAUAUGACAUUCUGAGUAACAUUGUUCUAAUUUUUAAAUGAAAAAGUGUUUAUGAUGUUAACAAUUACGGGACCCUUUUAAUUAUAAUAUCAAAUUGAGUUGGAAAGUUAUGUAAGAGGAAACUAUAAGUCAGUAGGUGUUCCAAAGCUCUUGUUCCUGGCAUGAAUACUGCAAUAUAAUUAUAAUAGAAAAGCUCUCAGUAGAUUGUGAAUGUGCCUUGAGUAUUUUAUAACGAGAACACAGUUGUUAAUUUAAUAAAUUGGAUAGCAAACAA